AUUGAACGCUGGCGGCAUGCUUUACACAUGCAAGUCGAACGGCAACGCGGAGAAGCUUGCUUCUCUGUCGGCGAGUGGCGAACGGGUGAGUAUAGCAUCGGAACGUGCCAAGUAGUGGGGGAUAACCAAACGAAAGUUUGGCUAAUACCGCGUAAGCUCCAAGGAGGAAAGUAGGGGACCUAAAUAAGGCCUUACGCUAUUUGAUCGGCCGAUGUCGGAUUAGCUAGUUGGUGGGGUAAUGGCUCACCAAGGCAAUGAUCCGUAGCGGGUCUGAGAGGACGAUCCGCCACACUGGGACUGAGACACGGCCCAGACUCCUACGGGAGGCAGCAGUGGGGAAUUUUGGACAAUGGGGGAAACCCUGAUCCAGCCAUGCCGCGUGUAUGAAGAAGGCCUUAGGGUUGUAAAGUACUUUUGUUAGGGAAGAAAAGCUAGUUUUUAAUAAAAAUUAGUGAUGACGGUACCUAAAGAAUAAGCACCGGCUAACUACGUG
rnacentral:rRNA from 1 species